rnacentral:rRNA from 1 species
GAUGAACGCUGGCGGCGUGCCUAACACAUGCAAGUCGAACGGAGUCCAGCCUUAGAGACCUUCGGGUCAAAGAGGGGAAGACUGAGUGGCGGACGGGUGAGUAACACGUGGGCAACCUGGCUCAUAGAGGGGGAUAACAGAGAGAAAUUUCUGCUAAUACCGCAUAAGCACACACUGCCGCAUGGCAGAGUGUGAAAAGAGAAUCGCUAUGAGAUGGACCCGCGUCUGAUUAGCCAGUUGGCAGGGUAAGAGCCUACCAAAGCGACGAUCAGUAGCCGAUUUGAGAGGAUGAACGGCCACAUUGGGACUGAGACACGGCCCAAACUCCUACGGGAGGCAGCAGUGGGGGAUAUUGCACAAUGGGGGGAACCCUGAUGCAGCGACGCCGCGUGAGUGAAGAAGUAUUUCGGUAUGUAAAGCUCUAUCAGCAGGGAAGAUAAUGACAGUACCUGAAGAAGAAGCCCCGGCUAAUUACGUG